rnacentral:lncRNA from 1 species
AAUGAACCCAUUUUGUUUAUCUCUGUAUUUAAAGAAAAUCAUUUGAAGCAUCCAUCCCAAAAUUGUUUGAUUUUAGUGCCUCUCUAUUUCUAAAUUUUUUGUGCAAAAAAAAAAAAAAAAAAAUAUGUCACUACCCCCAGCCCCUCUUUUUUUAAGGUUUACAUUAAGGUUUUUUAUUGUCAACCAUAGGUCAGUCAUUUGAAAAAAACAUAUUCAACAAACACCAACAUCAAUAUAACAUGUUAGUUAGUUU